rnacentral:rRNA from 1 species
GAUGAACGCUGACAGAAUGCUUAACACAUGCAAGUCAACUUGAAUUUGGGUUUUUAACUUAGGUUUGGGUGGCGGACGGGUGAGUAACGCGUAAAGAACUUGCCUCACAGCUAGGGACAACAUUUGGAAACGAAUGCUAAUACCUAAUAUUAUGAUAAUAGGGCAUCCUAUAAUUAUGAAAGCUAUAAGCGCUGUGAGAGAGCUUUGCGUCCCAUUAGCUAGUUGGAGAGGUAACGGCUCACCAAGGCGAUGAUGGGUAGCCGGUCUGAGAGGGUGAUCGGGCACAAGGGGACUGAGACACGGCCCUUACUCCUACGGGAGGCAGCAGUGGGGAAUAUUGGACAAUGGACCGAGAGUCUGAUCAAGCAAUUCUGUGUGCACGAUGAAGUUUUUCGGAAUGUAAAGUGCUUUCAGUUGGGAAGAAACAAAUGACGGUACCAACAGAAGAAGUGACGGCUAAAUACGUG